rnacentral:rRNA from 1 species
AACGAACGCUGGCGGCAUGCCUAACACAUGCAAGUCGAACGAAACCUUCGGGUCUAUUGGCGCACGGGUUCGUAAGGCGUGGGAACCUGCCCUUAGGUUCGGAAUAACUCCCCGAAAGGGGUGCUAAUACCGGAUAAUGUCUUCGGACCAAAGAUUUAUCGCCUUUGGAUGGGCCCGCGUUGGAUUAGCUCGUUGGUAGGGUAAAAGCCUACCACGGCGACGAUCCAUAGCUGGUCUGAGAGGAUGAUCAGCCACACUGGGAGUGAGACACGGCCCAGACUCCUACGGGAGGCAGCAGUGGGGGAUAUUGGAAAAUGGGGGAAAGCCUGAUCCAGCACGGCCGGGUGAGUGAUGAAGGCCUUAGGGUUGUAAAGCUCUUUUAACCGGGAUGAUAAUGACGGUACCGGGAGAAUAAGCUCCGGCUAACUCCGUG